CCUACGGGAGGCAGCAGUGGGGAAUAUUGGACAAUGGGGGAAACCCUGAUCCAGCGACGCCGCGUGAGUGAAGAAGUAUUUCGGUACGUUAAGCUCUAUCAGCAGGAAAGAAAAUGACGGUACCUGACUAAGAAGCCCCGGCUAACUACGUGCCAGCAGCCGCGGCAACACGUCGGGAGCAAGCGUGAUCCGGAUGUACUGGGUGUAAAGGGAGCGUAGACGGCAGUGCAGGUCCGGAGUGAAAUGCCUGGGCCCAACCCCGGAACCGCUCUGGAAACUGUGAAUCUGGAGUGGAGGAGAGGUAAGCGGAAUGCGUGGUGUAGCGGUGAAAUGCGUAGAUAGCGGGAGGAACACCGGCGGCGAAGGCGGCUUACUGGACUGUAACUGACGUUGAGGCUCGAAGGCGUGGGGAGCGAACAGGAUUAGAUACCCCAGUAGUC
rnacentral:rRNA from 1 species